rnacentral:lncRNA from 1 species
CUUGGGAAGAAGCCACCCACAGUUAUCGUAUUGAAUACUAGAGAUCAGCUGCGAGUUCACUGGACCAACAUACUCUGCUGCUGCUGCCUUCUGGUUUCUUUACAUGUGAGGCAGUGGAUGUGGGAAUGGGUUGGACGGGGAUAGCUGAUGCUGCUGCAGCAUUUCACCCAUCCUUGUUUACAGGGAGGUCCGACAAAGACUGGGAGUCGCCACCGGUCGGGCCGCAGGGCAUGGAUGGGGAGGGAAUCCGAGACAUGUUUUUGUCGCCUUGUCGGUGUAGGACUUUUGUCGAACAUGUGGCCUGAUACAAUCAGAACAGGGUGUAGGCAUUUUGUCUGAAACGUGUCGUGGCGCAGUUGGAGCAAAGCGUGUGACGUACCUGGGGCUGUAACGCUAGGCCACACACGUCGGGCCUUGUGAGAUCCACAACAACUGGGCUUGUACCUCGGCAUGCCAUGUACCUGCUUGCACAAUAUUACUGCUUGUUGUUGCAGCUGAGCAAAACAGUCGGCUUGAAUCUGACCUGAUUAACAAACCCAUGAAGGGAAGUCAAAUUCUCACAAGAGAAACCAAAACAAGAGCUCUCGAGGUUGCCGUCGAUGAGUUGGAGUCGUCGUCAUCCUCCAUCCACGUCUCUCGUACCACUUGUAAGCUCUUCAGCGUCGGCGCCCGUCCCUUCAUCUCUCUCGGGACUUCUCUCGAACAGGUGGUGGUGGAAUAACAGCGCUGUGCUUUUAGUAGGCGGGUUAUAGAAAGGCCUCAGCAUGCGCGGCCUCAACAUCCAACGCAUACUUAAUGUUCAUGGGGCGCAAGAAGUAGGGCC